CAAAAACAUCUCCUCUUGAUAACUUGAUAAUCAUAAGAGGUAGGCCCUGCCCAGUGCCACGGUAAACGGCGGCCGUUCGUCACGGUUUUAAUGUAGCGCAAUUGCUUGCCCUUUAAUUGGGGGAGGGAGGAACGGGUUGACGUUAGGGGGUCUGUCUCCUAAGCAGUAGGUAGAAAUUUUCUUCUUAGUGAAAAGCCUAAGAUAUUUUUAAAAGACGAGAAGACCCUGUCGAGCUUAAUUAGCUCCGAAAGCGUUAUUUUAGGGGCGAAAUUUAGUUGGGGCAACUCUGGAGAAAACAAAACCUCUGGGCUUUAAAUGACGACCCAUUAAAUAAUGAGUACCAGAAGAAGUUACCGCAGGGAUAACAGCGCGGCGCUCCCAGCGAGGUCACAUCAAAGGGAGAAAGUGCGACCUCGAUGUUGGAUUAGAAUUGCUCAUUGGCGCAGCAGCUAAAAGAGUGGGUCUGUUCGCCCCUUAAAAUUCUACAUGAUCUGAGUUCA
rnacentral:rRNA from 1 species